GUGACACCUGGACAAAUAUGGAUGCACUAAAGCUGUACUUCAUUCUGCUUCUACCACCAACUGCAUGCUCACAAGAUUUAGGAGGAGAAACUGUUGGGAAAACAAUUGGGAAACAACCAGAUUUCACUCAAAUAUGAAAGACAGAACAUCACCACGCUGAUCGUUUGUAAGAUCAGAAUAAGAGAGUGGAAGGAGGAAAUUGUUUUCUGCUGUAGGAAUAUGGACGGGGCUUUGUUCAUUAAUGUGACUCCAGGUUUACGCUGAUGAAAGAAAAUCAGACUGUGUUUCUCCACCUGAUCAAUUUAACAUCAGAGGACAGUGGGAGCUACACCUGUCAGUGUUCAGCUCCCGAUGGAACAAAAUGUCACUGUGGAAUGUCACUUCUUCCCACUCUAUUAAAAUGACAUUGAACUGUU